AAUAACCUAAUUAAAACCCCUCCCUCAAAUUAAAAUUACAAUCCUAAAAUUAAGAAAGAAAUAACAAAACCUAGGGAACAAAAAUGAGGAAAAAAAAGAUGCCAUAGAGUUACUCGAUAAGUCGAUCUAAACUCCCCUCAAUUAAGACUUCGGUGAGUUCACCUAACUUGGAAGAACUUGAAGAGAAAACUUAGCACAAGGUUAAUAGAAAGCUCAAAUCUUAAACUUUAUUA
rnacentral:lncRNA from 1 species